AAUUUGGGGACAACGCUGCGGGCAUCGAGGCGGUGGCGCUUGAUUUCCUUUAAAGUACCUACCACGCCACCCGCUACCUGCAAUAAUCCAUCUGAAGAGGUCGCCGGGCAGCGGCUCGGCAGACAGACUGACCUGCGGGGAGGUGCGGUUUCCAGUGGCGCGGGACAGCCGGCUCCGAGAAGGAACUGGGACCUUUGCCUAGGGCAAGACGUCAACAGGAACCCGCAGGCCCGGCCUGGACACCUGCUGCCCUCACUGGAAGCUUUAACUCCCACUCGAGUCUCUUGGCGUCGUCAGUGCCAGGAGCGCUUGGAUUGGGAUGGGGACGAAGAAAGGUGCCUCGCUCGCCGAGCCCCGCUGCACUUGGGGAACUGGCAAAGUCGAGGUUUCCUCACAGCGUUGAGAUUGAGACUGGGGGUCGUGGUCUCAAAUAGUCAAGACCCCCUGCUGGGAGGAGCUAUCCUGCUCUUUGGAAGAAAUGGGCAUGCCAGAUGCCUGGAAGAUCAGAGGCUCACAUUCCAGGUGCCAAGAACGUACACUGGGGAAAAAAU
rnacentral:antisense_RNA from 1 species